GGCUCAAUAGCCGAGGGGUUAGAGAACUGGUUUUAUAAACCAGCUGUUGUGAGUUCAAUUCUCACUGGGGCCU
rnacentral:tRNA from 1 species